ACCAGAUGUGGGUGUCACGGUUCCGCCCGGUCGCAAGACUUGGUGGCGAAGAUGGGAAGCCGGUGAGUUGCACUCCGACGCGACAAAUCCGGCGCUGCCCCCGCAACUGUAAGCAGUGAGUUGAAUCCGACCGAUGUCACUGAUGCGUUUUCGCAUCGGGAAGACCGGAUUCAGCGCCGAACUGCGAGCCAGGAGACCUGCCGCGACACCAAAGAACGU
rnacentral:ncRNA from 2 species